rnacentral:rRNA from 1 species
UCAGGUACGUAUACCAUGUUGAAUACAACGGUUCUCGUUCGAUCACUGAAGUUAAGCAACAUCGGGCGUGGUUAGUACCUGGAUGGGUGACCAGGACCUGAAAGUGGACCUGAA